AGAUCGUUUUGGGGGAAAUUCCGAAGUAAUCACUUGUAAUGCUUCCAUGCUUCAUAAAGUGAUUCACCCGAUUCUUGUUCAAAGUUGGUUAUCGUCUUCUUGAGUUU